ACUCCUACGGGAGGCAGCAGUGGGGAAUUUUGGACAAUGGGCGAAAGCCUGAUCCAGCAAUGCCGCGUGAGUGAAGAAGGCCUUCGGGUUGUAAAGCUCUUUUGUCAGGGAAGAAACGGUGAGAGCUAAUAUCUCUUGCUAAUGACGGUACCUGAAGAAUAAGCACCGGCUAACUACGUGCCAGCAGCCGCGGUAAUACGUAGGGUGCAAGCGUUAAUCGGAAUUACUGGGCGUAAAGCGUGCGCAGGCGGUUUUGUAAGUCUGAUGUGAAAUCCCCGGGCUCAACCUGGGAAUUGCAUUGGAGACUGCAAGGCUAGAAUCUGGCAGAGGGGGGUAGAAUUCCACGUGUAGCAGUGAAAUGCGUAGAUAUGUGGAGGAACACCGAUGGCGAAGGCAGCCCCCUGGGUCAAGAUUGACGCUCAUGCACGAAAGCGUGGGGAGCAAACAGGAUUAGAAACCCCGGUAGUCC
rnacentral:rRNA from 1 species